GCUAUGCGCAACUCGGCAGGAUGAGAACCUGCUGCAGGUUCGAGCCGAACGAAGUGAGACACCAAAGCCGCCUGCGGCGACGGCCCGAAGGGCGAGCGAAGCGAGUCCUGCACGACCCACCA
rnacentral:sRNA from 3 species